rnacentral:lncRNA from 1 species
CAAAAGCAAUCUGUUUAAACAUCUGGAGGGCAUCCUUAUCAUCCAAGCACUUAACCUCAUAAACGACUUCUACUCCACAGGUAUUGAGCAAGCCCAUAUCUCGAGUGGUUAUGAUAAUUCGGCUCCCAGGACCAAACCAGUUUUUCUCUUUUGCCAAAGCAUGCACCUGCGCCACUUUAUCCACACCAUCAAGCACAAGAAAAACCUUUUGAUUCCCAAGUCUCUUUUUUAUCUCUUGGCAUCCAGCUUCCACGCUCCAUAACCUAAUAUCAUCACAGAGGAUACUGGAGAGCAAUUCUUUUUGCAAAUGCUUUAGAUCAUGGCCAUUGUCUUUACUAACACUCUUAAUGUUUUCUAUGAAACAAUGAGCUGGAAAUUUAGGUGAGAGCUGGUCAUAGAGACACUUAACAAUGGAGGUUUUCCCAAUUCCUCCCAUUCCCCAGAUUCCUACCAGGAGAACCUCAUUGGAUUCCUGAUCCAAGAGAUGAUUAAGACCUUCCAUGUGAGCUUUCAUCCCAACAAUAUUUCCAGAGUCUAUUUUAUGCAUCAAUGUCACACGUCUUGAAAUAUCUCUAGCAAUUUCUCCAACCAUUAUAGCCUCAUCAACACUAAUAAUAUUGAAAUUGAGCAGGAAAAUUAUAAUUCAACUUUCCAGUGUGCUGCUAAACAAAGUGAUAAAUGUGUGUAAACAAGAAAACGAGGCUUACCAGUGGCUUGAAACCACGCCUGAAAGAUU